rnacentral:rRNA from 1 species
UACAGAGGGGGCAAGCGUUGUUCGGAAUUACUGGGCGUAAAGGGCGCGUAGGCGGCUUUGCAAGUCGGGUGUGAAAUCCCCAGGCUUAACCUGGGAACUGCAUUCGAGACUGCAUUGCUAGAGUAUGGGAGAGGGAAGUGGAAUUUCCGGUGUAGCGGUGAAAUGCGUAGAUAUGGGGAGGAACACCGGUGGCGAAGGCGGCCACCUGGACGGUAACUGACGCUGAGACGCGAAAGCGUGGGGAGCAAACAGG